UUUAUGGAGAGUUUGAUCCUGGCUCAGGAUGAACGCUGGCGGCGUGCCUAAUACAUGCAAGUCGAGCGAACGGACGAGAAGCUUGCUUCUCUGAUGUUAGCGGCGGACGGGUGAGUAACACGUGGAUAACCUACCUAUAAGACUGGGAUAACUUCGGGAAACCGGAGCUAAUACCGGAUAAUAUUUUGAACCGCAUGGUUCAAAAGUGAAAGACGGUCUUGCUGUCACUUAUAGAUGGAUCCGCGCUGCAUUAGCUAGUUGGUAAGGUAACGGCUUACCAAGGCAACGAUGCAUAGCCGACCUGAGAGGGUGAUCGGCCACACUGGAACUGAGACACGGUCCAGACUCCUACGGGAGGCAGCAGUAGGGAAUCUUCCGCAAUGGGCGAAAGCCUGACGGAGCAACGCCGCGUGAGUGAUGAAGGUCUUCGGAUCGUAAAACUCUGUUAUUAGGGAAGAACAUAUGUGUAAGUAACUGUGCACAUCUUGACGGUACCUAAUCAGAAAGCCACGGCUAACUACGUGCCAGCAGCCGCGGUAAUACGUAGGUGGCAAGCGUUAUCCGGAAUUAUUGGGCGUAAAGCGCGCGUAGGCGGUUUUUUAAGUCUGAUGUGAAAGCCCACGGCUCAACCGUGGAGGGUCAUUGGAAACUGGAAAACUUGAGUGCAGAAGAGGAAAGCGGAAUUCCAUGUGUAGCGGUGAAAUGCGCAGAGAUAUGGAGGAACACCAGUGGCGAAGGCGACUUUCUGGUCUGUAACUGACGCUGAUGUGCGAAAGCGUGGGGAUCAAACAGGAUUAGAUACCCUGGUAGUCCACGCCGUAAACGAUGAGUGCUAAGUGUUAGGGGGUUUCCGCCCCUUAGUGCUGCAGCUAACGCAUUAAGCACUCCGCCUGGGGAGUACGACCGCAAGGUUGAAACUCAAAGGAAUUGACGGGGACCCGCACAAGCGGUGGAGCAUGUGGUUUAAUUCGAAGCAACGCGAAGAACCUUACCAAAUCUUGACAUCCUUUGACAACUCUAGAGAUAGAGCUUCCCCUUCGGGGGACAAAGUGACAGGUGGUGCAUGGUUGUCGUCAGCUCGUGUCGUGAGAUGUUGGGUUAAGUCCCGCAACGAGCGCAACCCUUAAGCUUAGUUGCCAUCAUUAAGUUGGGCACUCUAAGUUGACUGCCGGUGACAAACCGGAGGAAGGUGGGGAUGACGUCAAAUCAUCAUGCCCCUUAUGAUUUGGGCUACACACGUGCUACAAUGGACAAUACAAAGGGCAGCGAAACCGUGAGGUCAAGCAAAUCCCAUAAAGUUGUUCUCAGUUCGGAUUGUAGUCUGCAACUCGACUACAUGAAGCUGGAAUCGCUAGUAAUCGUAGAUCAUCAUGCUACGGUGAAUACGUUCCCGGGUCUUGUACACACCGCCCGUCACACCACGAGAGUUUGUAACACCCGAAGCCGGUGGAGUAACCUUUUAGGAGCUAGCCGUCGAAGGUGGGACAAAUGAUUGGGGUGAAGUCGUAACAAGGUAGCCGUAUCGGAAGGUGCGGCUGGAUCACCUCCUUUCU
rnacentral:rRNA from 1 species